rnacentral:rRNA from 1 species
AUUGAACGCUGGCGGCAGGCUUAACACAUGCAAGUCGAGCGAGCGGCGGACGGGUGAGAAAUGUAUGGGAAAGUGGCUGAUGGAGGGGGAUAACUAAUGGAAACGGUAGCUGAUACCGAAUACAAUCAGAUGUGCCCAGAUGGGAUUAGAUAGUGGGUGGGGUAAGGGCUCCCCUAGGCGACGAUCCCUAGCUGGUCUGAGAGGAUGACCAGCCACACUGGAACUGAUACACGGUCCAGACUCCUACGGGAGGCAGCAGUGGUGAAUAUUGCACAAUGGGGGCAACCCUGAUGCAGCCAUGCCGCGUGUGUGAAGAAGGCCUUCGGGUUGUAAAGCACUUUCAGCGAGGAAGCGUUACUUGCAGAAGAAGCACCGGCUAACUCCGUGCCAGCAGCCGCGGUAAUUC